rnacentral:rRNA from 1 species
GAUGAACGCUGGCGGCGUGCUUAACACAUGCAAGUCGAGCGAGUGAGUUCUUCGGAACGAUCUAGCGGCGGACGGGUGAGUAACACGUGGGCAACCUGCCUCAUAGAGGGGAAUAGCCUUCCGAAAGGAAGAUUAAUACCGCAUAACAUCGUUGAAGGGCAUCCUUCGAUGAUCAAAGGAGCAAUCCGCUAUGAGAUGGGCCGGCGGCGCAUUAGCUAGUUGGUGAGGUAACGGCUCACCAAGGCGACGAUGCGUAGCCGACCUGAGAGGGUGAUGAGCCACAUUGGGACUGGGGCACGGCCCAGACUCCUACGGGAGGCUGCAGUGGGGAAUAUUGAACAAUGGGGGAAACCCUGAUGCAGCAACGCCGCGUGAGUGAUGACGGCCUUCGGGUUGUAAAGCUCUGUCUUUGGGGACGAUAAUGACGGUACCCAAGGAGGAAGUCACGGCUAACUACGUGCCAGCCGCCGCGGUAAGAC